rnacentral:sRNA from 1 species
UGCCUAAACCCUACAGCAAUGUAGGGCAUGGCAGGAAAAACUAUUCAGGUUAGUAAGCUCUUCGUCAGAGCACCUGAAUAGUCAUAGUCCGAAAGGAUUAUGGGUAGCGGAAGCUAUC